rnacentral:rRNA from 1 species
UACGUAGGGACCGAGCGUUGUCCGGAAUUAUUGGGCGUAAAGAGCUCGUAGGCGGUUUGUCGCGUCUGCUGUGAAAGACCGGGGCUCAACUCCGGUUCUGCAGUGGGUACGGGCAGACUAGAGUGCAGUAGGGGAGACUGGAAUUCCUGGUGUAGCGGUGAAAUGCGCAGAUAUCAGGAGGAACACCAAUUGCGAAGGCAGCUCGCUGGGACGUAACUGACGCUGAGACGCGAAAGCGUGGGGAGCAAACAGG